rnacentral:lncRNA from 1 species
UGGGGGUGUCAUUUGCUGAAAGAUUCAGCAUGAGCCAACAGUGUACACUUGCAGCCCAGAAGGUCAACUGUAUCCUGGGUUACAUAAAGAGAAGUAUGACCAGCAGGUCGAGGUAGGUGAUUCUGCCCCUCUACUCUGUUCUUGUGAGACCCCACUCGAAAUAAUGCAUCCAGUUCUGGGGCCCCCAACACAAGAAAGACAUGGAGCUAUUGGAGCGGGUCCAGAGGAGGGCCACGAAGAUGAUCAGAGGGCUGGAGAACCUCCCCAAUGAGCACAGGCUGCGGAGCUGGGGCUCUUCAGACUGCAGAAGGGAAGGUUCCAAGACAACCUCAUUACCUCAUUGUGGCCUUCCACUACUUAAGGGGAGUUUAUAAACAUGAGGAAAGUCAACUUUUUAUGUGAGUAGAUAGUGAUAGUACAAAGGGGAAUGGUUUUAAAUUAUAGGAAGGAAGAUUUAGAUUGGGUGUCAGGGGGAAGUUUUUUACUGAGUGGUGAGGUGCUGGAACAGGUUGCCCAGACAGGUUGUGGAUGCUCUGUCCCUGGAGGUGUUUAAGGCCAGGUUGGAUGGGGCCCUUCGCAAUCUGAUCUAAUACUUAUCUAGCAACUGGCAACCCUGUCCGUUUUGGGGGGGAUUGGAACUUGAUGAUCCUUGGGGUCCCUUCCAACCCAAGCUAUUCUAUGAUUCUAAGAUUCUGUGAUCCCCAGAGAAGCAGUAGCCACAACCAUAUCUGUGGCUGUGCUCAUGCAGCUCAGCUGUGACUGAGGUUUGUGCAGAUCUAUUUUGCUACCUCACUGCUAGCUUUUUCAGGUAUUGUUAACAGCGUAUCCUGACAUGCGGGAAGAUGUGUCUCCCACAUUGAACUCUAUGCCCUUCAGCCUCUGAGGCUGCUUGUUUUCCGGAGAUGUGGUCUCUAAAAAAAAUGUGGUGUUGACACAGUGUGCAGCACUUGGAUUUCUCAGCUUAGGGAGUUUAAAAGAACUCUGUACAGGCACCAGUGGGUUUUAUUAGUUAGAAUUAAAUCAUAGGAUCACAGAAUACCAGGGAUUGGAAGGGUCCUUGAAAGAUUAUCAAGUCCAGUCCCCAUGCCAGAGCAGGAAC